CCAAUCGAACUCGGAGAUAGCUGGUUCUCCCCGAAAUAGCUUUAGGGCUAGCCUCAUAUUAGAUACCCGGAGGUAAAGCACUGAAUGGCCUAGCGCCCGAGAGGGUAGCGAAGCCUAUCAAACUAAGAAUGCCGGAGUAUUGAUGUAUGGGAGUCAGACAGUGUGAGAUAAAUCUCAUUGUCAAAAGGGAAACAGCCCAGAUCUACAGCUAAGGUCCCAAAUUGUAUCUAAGUGGAAAACGAUGUGGAAAUACGCAGACAACCAGGAUGUUGGCUCAGAAGCAGCCACUCAUUUAAAGAGUGCGUAAUAGCUCACUGGUCGAGCGUCUCUGCGCGGAAAAUUUAACGGGGCUAAGAUACAAACCGAAGCUUAGGCUGCAUCGUAAGAUGCGGGGUAGGGGAGCGUUGUGUAAGCGGAGAAACAGUAGCGUAAGCGGCUGUGGAGUUUACAGAAGUGAGAAUGCCGGAAUGAGUAGCGCGAAUGUGGUGAGAAUCCACAUGGCCGGAAACCUCAGGUUUUUGGAGGAAGGUUCGUCCGCUCCAAGUUAGGCGGGAGCUAAGGUCAGGCCGCAAGGCGUAGCCGAUGCACAGACGGUAGAGAUUCCGUCCCCACCGAAAGAUUUAAGCACAGGGACACUUUUAGAAGGUCGGAGCCAGGUGUUGGUUCUGGUAGUGAUCGAGGGAAAUUUAGUACCGAAGUCUGGCUGGAUAAGAGGCGAGAAAAGCUGUGUGUAUAUCUAAGGUGCCCGUACCGCAAACCGACACAGGUAGGUAGGAAGAAGAUUCUAAGGCCAACGGGAGAAGGGUUGUUAAGGAACUCGGCAAGUUGACCCCGUAACUUCGGAAUAAGGGGUGCUCACGAGAGUGAGCCGCAGAGAAUAGGCCCAGGCAACUGUUUACCAAAAACACAGGUUUGUGCUAAAUCGAAAGAUGACGUAUACGAGCUGACGCCUGCCCGGUGCUGGAAGGUUAAAAGGAGAUGUGCAAGCAUUGAAUUGAAGCCCCAGUGAACGGCGGCCGUAACUAUAACGGUCCUAAGGUAGCGAAAUUCCUUGUCAGGUAAGUUCUGACCCGCAUGAAAGGCGUAAUGAUCUGGGCACUGUCUCAACAGCCCGCCCGGCGAAAUUGUAGUACCGGUGAAGAUGCCGGUUACCCGCGACAAGACGGAAAGACCCCAUGGAGCUUUACUGUAGCCUGAUAUUGGGUUUCGGUGUUGCAUGCACAGGAUAGAUGGGACGCUAGGAAAGAAGCGCUUUGGCGUUUCUGGAGCGGACGUUGGGAUACCAUCCUUGCGACAUUGGAAUUCUAACCUGCGCCUCUGAAUCGAGGCGGGGGACAUUGUCAGGUGGGCAGUUUGACUGGGGCGGUCGCCUCCUAAAAAGUAGCGGAGGCGUUCAAAGGUUCGUUCGAUCUGGACGGAAACCAGAUGAAUGAGUGCAAACGCAUAAACGAGCCUGACUGCGAGACUGACGGGUCGAGCAGAGACGAAAGUCGGAGUUAGUGAUCCGGUGGUAUGUGAGUGG
rnacentral:rRNA from 1 species